UACGUAGGCACCAAGCGUUGUCCGGAUUUAUUGGGCGUAAAGAGCUCGUAGGCGGUUCGGUUAGUCGGGUGUGAAAACUUUGGGCUCAACCCAAAGCGUGCACUCGAUACUGCCGUGACUAGAGUUCGGUAGGGGAGUGGGGAAUUCCUAGUGUAGCGGUGAAAUGCGCAGAUAUUAGGAGGAACACCGGUGGCGAAGGCGCCACUCUGGGCCGAAACUGACGCUGAGGAGCGAAAGCGUGGGUAGCAAACAGG
rnacentral:rRNA from 1 species